rnacentral:rRNA from 1 species
UCCGUAGGCGGGAUGAUAAGUCAGUGGUGAAAGCCCACAGCUCAACUGUGGAACUGCCAUUGAAACUGUCAUUCUUGAAUCUAGUUGAAGUGAACGGAAUGUAACAUGUAGCGGUGAAAUGCAUAGAUAUGUUACAGAACACCAAUUGCGAAGGCAGUUCACUAAGCUAGUAUUGACGCUGAGGGACGAAAGCGUGGGUAGCGAACAGGAUUAGAUACCCUGGUAGUCC